CAGCCGCCGCGGUAAUACCGGCGGCCCGAGUGGCGGCCACUAUUAUUGGGCUUAAAGCGUCCGUAGCCGGGUUGGGAAGUCCUCCGGGAAAUCUGGCCGCUUAACGGUCAGAAUGCCGGAGGAUACUCCCAGCCUAGGGAGCGGGAGAGGCCGAGGGUAUUCCCGGAGUAGGGGUGAAAUCCUAUAAUCCCGGGAGGACCACCUGUGGCGAAGGCGCUCGGCUGGAACGCGUCCGACGGUGAGGGACGAAGGCCAGGGGAGCAAACCGGAUUAGAUACCCGGGUAGUCCUAGCGGUAAACGAUGCGGACUUUGUGUCGGACAAGCUAUGAGCUUGUCCGGUGCCGGAGGGAAACCGUUAAGUCCGCCGCCUGGGGAGUACGGCCGCAAGGCUGAAACUUAAAGGAAUUGGCGGG
rnacentral:rRNA from 1 species